UCUCUCCUGGAGCAGGAAUUUGAUUAUGACUAUGACAACAUUCUGCUGAAUGAUCCAGAGCGCGCUAAGAGGGAGUUUGAGAACUGGAUCAGAUGGACCCAAGAGAGCGUAGACAGCACCCUGUCAAUGGCGCUGACUGCUGCCACCAUCAAGCAGCAGUGGCUACAAAAAGGACUGAGGCAGCGGUGCAGGGCGACCUCCGCAAAAUAGAGGAGAACAUUCGUUUGGACCACCACGUCAUACUCAACACGUAGAGCGACAGCGCUGACAGCGAUGGAGAGACAGAAACUCUUAGCCCUACCUCUGGCUAAAAAGAGCACCAGAGAAUAGUCUCUCUCCUGGAGCAGGAAUUUGAUUAUGACUAUGACAACAUUCUGCUGAAUGAUCCAGAGCGCGCUAAGAGGGAGUCUGAGAACUGGAUCAGAUGGACCCAAGAGAGGGUCUCUGUUUCAGACGGACCUGCUCAAGAGGUCAACACCAACACCAGCUGAGGCAAUUACUGUAAAAAGGAGAACAUCAGAGCUGCCGAACUGAGGAAGAAGAGUCAGAUGGAGGACCAGGAUGAAGCUGGAGAAGAUCCACAAAGCUGAGCUGAAGGAAAAGAAAAGGAGGGAAGCUCAGGAGAAAAAAGAGGAGAGGGGCCAGACCAGACAGUCCAUAUUUUGUUUCUGUUUCAGGAAAUCUUCCUGAUCAAAGGACAUAGCAUUGAUGAUGAAUAAACAAUCAACUAAUAAUUCGUCAGUGAGUCCAGCUGUUUGUUGUGCUUGUUUGUUCCAUCCAGAUAUAGAUAGGCCUAGACCUGUCUCCAAAGCAAUAGCCAUAAUAAGACCACAGUGGAGGCGAGCAAAAGAGGAGAGGGACAAGACCACACAGCCCAAAUGUUGUUUCUGCUUCAGGAAUUCUAACCAAUAUAUACUUUUAUAUUAUACAGAGAGCACGCAUUGAGAGCCACUCUCGAGAACCUUGUGCAGUUCCUUGCCAAGAAGGAGCAAUCGGCCGAGGCAUGGCAUGGAGAGAGCAAGGACUGAGGCAGCGGUACAGGCCGACCUCCGCAAAAUAGAGGAGAACAUUCGUUUGGACCACCACGUCAUACUCAAACGUAGAGCGACAACGUUGACAGCGAUAGAGAGACAGAAACUCUUAGCCCUACCUCUGGCUAAAAAGAACACCAGAGGAUAGUCUCUCUCCUGGGGCAGGAGUGUGAUUAUGACUAUGACAACAUUCUGCUGAAUGAUCCAGAGCGCGCUAAGAGGGAGUCUGAGAACUGGAUCAGAUUGACCCAAGAGAGCGUAGACAGCACCCUGUCAAUGGCGCUGACUGCUGCCACCAUCAGGCAGCAGUGGCUACAAAAAGGACUGAGGCAGCGGUGCAGGCCGACCUCUGCAAAAUAGAGGAGAACAUUCGUUUGGACCACCACGGCAUACUCAAACAUAGAGCGACAACGCUGACAGCGAUGGGGAGACAAUAUUCUGUUUUUUUAGUCUCUGAGCUUCAGCUGCCUUGAACAGGUCAUUGUUCAGAACAAGAAGCUGCAGGCGAAGAUCGACACAAAGUUGGAGGAAAAGCUGGCGCGUCUCCGGGCUGAGGCAAUUAAAAAGGAGGAGAAAAUCCGAGCUGCCGAGCUUAAAAAGAGGAGUCAGAUGGAGGAGAAGACCAGGAAGAAGCUGGAGAAGAUCCAUCAGGCUGAGCUGAAGGAGAAGAAAAGGAGGGAAGAGAGCAAGAGAGGAGAGGGGCCAGACCAGACAAUCCAUAUUUUGCUUCUGUUUCAGGAAAUCUUCCUGAUCAAAGGGCAUUGAUUAUGAAUAAACAAUCAACUAAUAAUUUGUCAGUCCAGCUGUUUGUUGUGCUUGUUUGUUCCAUCCAGACAUAGAUCGGCCUAGACCAGUCUCCAAAGCAAUAGCCAUAAUAAGACCACAGUGGGCUAUUUAAAUUGCAUCACCAGCUGAGCCAAAGGUGAAUUGGCCUACAGUAAUAUCUCAUUGCUUCAUUAACUGUUCACAUCUCAAGGUGUAUGUCCAAUUUCGUUGUACUGGUUGUUCUGAGUAUUGUAACAACAAUAAAGUUGAACCUCAUCCAA